rnacentral:rRNA from 1 species
AGCGGAAUGAUAGCCGGGCUGAAGACUCUGCUUGACUAGCUGAGAGGAGGUGCAUGGCCGUCGUCAGUUCGUACUGUGAAGCAUCCUGUUAAGUCAGGCAACGAGCGAGACCCACGCCAACAGUUGCCAGCAUGUCCUCCGGGAUGGUGGGGACACUGUUGGGACCGCCUCUGCUAAAGAGGAGGAAGGAAUGGGCAACGGUAGGUCAGCAUGCCCCGAAUUAUCCGGGCUACACGCGGGCUACAAUGGUCAGGACAAUGGGCAUCAACACCGAAAGGUGAAGGCAAUCUCUUAAACCUGUCCUUAGUUCGGAUUGUGGGCUGCAACUCGCCCACAUGAAGCUGGAAUCUGUAGUAAUCGUGUCUCAAAAUGGCACGGUGAAUAUGUCCCUGCUCCUU